rnacentral:rRNA from 1 species
ACGGGGAGCAGCAGGCGCGAAACCUUUACACUGCACGACAGUGCGAUAAGGGGAUCCCCAGUGCGAGGGCAUACAGUCCUCGCUUUUCUACACCGUAAGGUGGUGCAGGAAUAAGAGCUGGGCAAGACCGGUGCCAGCCGCCGCGGUAAUACCGGCAGCUCAAGUGAUGGCCGCUAUUAUUGGGCCUAAAGCGUCCGUAGCCGGCCGAACAGGUCCGUCGGGAAAUCUGCUCGCUCAACGAGCAGGCGUCCGGCGGAAACCUGUCGGCUUGGGGCCGGAAGACCCGAGGGGUACGUCCGGGGUAGGAGUGAAAUCCCGUAAUCCCGGACGGACCGCCGGUGGCGAAGCGCCUCGGGAAGACGGACCCGACGGUGAGGGACGAAAGCUAGGGUCACGAACCGGAUUAGAUACCCGGGUAGUCCUAGCCGUAAACGAUGCCCACUAGGUGUGG